GCUUUGAAUGUUACGUUACGCAAUGUGCUGCGGUGUAGUCAGUUCACGGUGGAUUAAUACUUCACUAAGACAGAACGCGACACUUCCUCAUGCAAUAAAACCCACAUCUCUUUUUUGAGUUCACCGGCAUUUCAGCAUCAUCACGGCAGUUUGGGUUUGAUAUCGGAUUUUCAGGCGUAGUUUAUUUAUCGUUUCUAUUUAUACACUUUGUUUACAAGAUGCCUGGAUUUUCUGACAGAGAUCGUGGUAGAGAUAGAGGACUGCAGGGCCAAAGGGGUUCGUAAACAGGCCAGCCAGCCGAAGUUAUGCUAUCUAGCAGACUUGUCCUCGCUGGCCAGUCCAUCAAACAAAUCCUGUCCUGCUGGCCGAUGGAACAUAUGCUAUCUGACUGACUUGUGUUAUCUGCUUGACUUAGGACAAGGUCUGUCGACUGGCCAGAUAGUAUAAAUCGGGCACAUAGGACAAGUCGGACAGAUAUACAUCAAGCUUGUGACUCUACACAUUUGUUGGCUACAUCUGCUGUUUGAUUUGGUUGUAUCAAAUUAUUUUGUGCACAAUAUACAUUAAUUAACUGUAUUAUAUUAUUUUGUAGUCACUUUUAUUGUAAAUAAGAAUAGAAUAGUUCUAAGCACAUUAAUGUGGAUGCUAUCAUGAUUACGGAUAUUCCUGCUUGUUGUCCUCAACAGGGUAUUGACCUGCCUGCACUUCAGCAUCAUAACCAACUUUAGUGGGCAAAUGUUCAUCUUCGAUGGCCACAGGCAUUCUGGAGAAGUGUGCUCUUAACGGAUGAAUCCCAGUUUCAACUGUACCGGGUAGAUGGCAGACAGUUGGGUGGGUGAGCAGUUUUCUGAUGUCAACGUUGUGAACAGUGUCCCAUGGUGGCAGGUUGGUUAUUGUAUGGGCAGGCAUAAGCUAUGGACAACGACCACAAUUGCAUUUUAUUGAUGGCAAUUUGAAUGCACAGAGAUACAGUGACAAAAUCCUGAGGCCCGUUGUCGUGCCAUUCAUCCACCACCAUCACCUCAUGUUUCUGCAUGAUAAUGCACGGCCCCAUGUCGCAAGGAUCUGUACACAAUUCCUGGAAGCUGACAAUGUUCCAGUUCCUCCAUGGCCUGCACUUACCAGACGUCACCCAUUGAGCAUGUUUGGCAUUCUCUGUAUCGACGUGUACGACAGUGUGUUCCAGUUCCCGCCAAUAUCCAGCAACUUCGCACAGCUAUUGAAGAGGAGUGGGACAACAUCUCACAGGCCACAAUCAACAGCCUGAUCAACUCUAUGUGAAGGAGAUGUGUUUCGCUGCAUGAGGCAAAUGGGUGUCACACCAGAUACUGACUGGUUUUCUACCUGUUUUCUACCUUUUUUAAACUAUCUGUGAUCAACAGUCAGUUGAAAUCUAUAGAUUAGGGCCACAUUUAUUUAUUUCAAUUGAAUGAUUUACUAAUGUG